CAAUCAACAGACAGUGAAGUCUUUGUUGGAAGUAAAAAUCAAGCCAGCGAUUUACUUCAACAUCUCUAAAGAGAGAUGGCUCUAGCCUAUGGCUAAAGAAAAUAACAGUUCGCUGAACUCAACGACCCAUCCUAUAGCAUUCUUCCUGUCGUGUUGGUGUUUACGAAUCGGUGAAAGGAGCCGAGUGAGAAAUAAAUCAUCUGUUCUCGAAGUAUAAAGAAAAAAUUAUUCCGGUUAUUGACCGGUUUAAAUGUAUUCACGGAGCCAAGACGUAACUGUAGAAAAAUGGAAGACGUCGAUGAUAAAUGUGAAUUCCCCUUUUUUUAAUUAUAAAAUAUUUCUAAAGGUGUAGACGGAUCCUUAAUCCACGUAACUCCUUUUAUCUGUACGUAAUCUUUCAUCUUCCCUCUUAAGAUAAGAACAAUAAUAAUAACUUUAACAAAGGAAAAGAAACUUUCUAUAAAGUGUCCGCCAUA